AUUCCUUGUUUCUUUGCAGAAGUUACAGUGUCCUGUUCAGAAUGAGUUUAUGCUGUUUUGUGAAGUAGCUUGAUUUUCCUGUUGCACUGCUAAUGGCCGCUCUGGGUUUGAUAGCUCAGAACAGAUGAGGUGAUGCUGGUGGACGGCCUGCUUCCCUGGUGCAGUAUGGCCUAGGUGUUUGUCAUGUCUAAGAUAUACCUUACUCCAGAUGUAGCUUUAAAAUAAUAGCAGCAUGCUGGACGCAAAAGAGGACAUGCCUGAGAGCGAGGAAACCUUCAUCUGUUGGGAGACCCACAGUGUGACUUUGCCUUUCUGAACCUGGAGAACUGUAUUUUAAAAGAUUCCAACUGUUAGAGCUGAAGGCACAUUAUCAGAAUGAUUCAGCUUCCAUUUCAGGACUCAUAAAUACAUAUCUUUAAAAGCUCUUCCUUGAUGCAACUGGGAUGUGCUAUGCAGGAGAUACCGUUCUUCCCAGUCUUAAAAAUCUAUGAGCCUGCAGUAUCCAGAUAAUCAGCACCCAGAAGCUUCAGGUUUUAUCAGUUAGCACAACAUGAAAAGAGAAAUUGCAUUGUAAUCAAGAAAUAGGGUGUAGAAAGGAGAUGUAAGCUAUAGAUCUCAAUGAGAGGUACGUGGUCCAGGUACUUUUCAUAGAAGUUAGAAUGAAAACAGAGAGGUUUGAAUUC
rnacentral:lncRNA from 7 species